rnacentral:rRNA from 1 species
AAUCAACGCUGGCGGCGUGCCUCAGACAUGCAAGUCGAACGAUUAAACUUUCCUUCGGGAAAGAUAUAAAGUGGCGCACGGGUGAGUAACACGUAAGUAAUCUACCUUCGAGUGGGGAAUAACGUCCGGAAACGGACGCUAAUACCGCAUAAUGCAGCGGCACCUAAUGGUGACAGUUGUUAAAGAUUUAUCGCUUGAAGAGGAGCUUGCGGCAGAUUAGCUAGUUGGUAAGGUAAUGGCUUACCAAGGCUACGAUCUGUAACCGGUCUAAGAGGACGGUCGGUAACACUGACACUGAAUAACGGGUCAGACUCCUACGGGAGGCAGCAGUCGGGAAUUUUGGGCAAUGGGCGAAAGCCUGACCCAGCAACGCCGCGUGAAGGAUGAAGUAUUUCGGUAUGUAAACUUCGAAAGAAUGGGAAGAAUCAAUGACGGUACCAUUUAUAAGGUCCGGCUAACUACGUGCCAGCAGCCGCGGUAAUAC